GGAAUUUUCUUUUUGGAUUCGAAACCUUUCAUGAUCUUAAACAUAACCUCUCAUUCAGAAAUUUUGUCAUGAUUUAAUAAAUCAAUUGGCUUGCUUAACCCUUAUUUAAAAAACAAAUCUUUUUUAAUUGGACACAAAUAAUAUCGGCACAACAUGUUGCAAUAAAAUUAAUGUUUAAAUUUUAUCCUCAAAAACCACUGCUAUG
rnacentral:sRNA from 1 species